rnacentral:tRNA from 1 species
GAGGGUAACAGCUCAGUGGUAGAGCGAAUGCUUAGCAUGCACAAGUUCCUGGGUUCAGUUCCCAGUACCUCCA